rnacentral:rRNA from 1 species
UUUAUCAAAAACAUCGCCUCUUGCAAAAACAACGAAUAAGAGGUCCCGCCUGCCCAGUGACUUAAGGUUUAACGGCUGCGGUAUUUUGACCGUGCAAAGGUAGCGCAAUCACUUGUCUCUUAAAUGGAGACCUGUAUGAAUGGCACCACGAGGGCUUAACUGUCUCCUUUCUUAAACCAAUGAAAUUGAUCUCUCCGUGCAGAAGCGGGGAUAAACCCAUAAGACGAGAAGACCCUAUGGAGCUUUAGACACCAAGAUAGCUUAUGUCAAGAAACCCCUCACAAGGGGCCGAACCCGAUAAGCCCUAUCCUAAUGUCUUCGGUUGGGGCGACCCCGGGAAAAUAAAUAACCCCCGCGAGGAAUGAAAAUAUACUUUCAGAACCAAGAGCCACCGCUCUAAGAAGCAGAACUUCUGACCAACUAGAUCCAGGUAAACUGAUUAACGGACCGAGUUACCCUAGGGAUAACAGCGCAAUCCCCUUAAAGAGACCCUAUCGACAAGGGGGUUUACGACCUCGAUGUUGGAUCAGGACAUCCUAAUGGUGUAGCCGCUGUUAAGGGUUCGUUUGUUCAACGAUUAAAGUCCUACGUGAUCUGAGUUCA